rnacentral:rRNA from 1 species
GGUCAAGCUACUAAGGGCGUACGGUGAAUGCCUUGGCGCUAGAAGUCGAUGAAGGACGUGGCAAGCUGCGAUAAGCCUCGGGGAGCCGCAAGCAGGCUUUGAUCCGGGGAUUUCCGAAUGGGGAAACCCACUCUGGCUCAUACCGGAGUAUCUCCCGCUGAAUACAUAGGCGGGCGAAGGCAACGGAGGGAAGUGAACCAUCUCAGUACCUCCAGGAGAAGAAAACAAGUCAGUGAUUCCGCUAGUAGCGGCGAGCGAACGCGGAAAAGCCCAAACCAGGGGGCAUGCUCCCUGGGGUUGUAGGGCCCGUUAGGCCGCAAGGCCGUCGAGUGAUAAACCAGAUUGAUAGUCGAAUCCUCUGGAAAGGGGAUCCAUAGAAGGUGACAGACCUGUAGGCGAAAUCAAUCUGGCUUGAUGGACGGGUACCUGAGUACCGCGGGACACGAGAAAUCCCGUGGGAACCUGCGAGGACCAUCUUGCAAGGCUAAAUACUCUCUAGCGACCGAUAGUGAACCAGUACCGUGAGGGAAAGGUGAAAAGCACCCCUGUGAGGGGAGUGAAAAAGUACCUGAAACCGUAUGCCUACAAGCAGUCGGAGGGCUAUAGGGGAGCAAUCCUCCAUGCCUGACGACGUGCCUUUUGCAUAAUGAGCCGGCUAGUUAAUCUCAGUGGCAAGGUUAAGCACAAGCGAGCCGUAGCGAAAGCGAGUCCGAAAUGGGCGCUAGAGUCGCUGGGAUUAGACGCGAAGCGAGAUGAUCUACCCUUGGCCAGGAUGAAGCGCGGGUAACACCGCGUGGAGGUCCGAACCGGUGUUAGUUGAAAAUAGCUCGGAUGAGCUGAGGGUAGGGGUGAAAGGCUAAUCAAAUUUCGUGAUUGCCCGUUCUCCUCGAAAUGCCUUUAGGGGCAGCCUCGGAUGGUCGGCGAUGGUGGUAGAGCACUGAAUGGACUAGGGGCCUUACCAGGUUACUGAAUCCAAUCAAACUUCGAAUGCCAUCGACACGUAAUCCGGGAGUGAGACAGUGGGGGCUAAGCUCCAUUGUCGAAAGGGAAACAGCCCAGACAUGCAUCUAAGGUCCCUAAUUCAAUGCUAAGUGGGAAAGGAUCUGGAGACGCUCAGACAACCAGGAGGUUGGCUUAGAAGCAGCCAUCCUUUAAAGAAAGCGUAAUAGCUCACUGGUCAAGCGGCUCUGGGCCGACAAUGUAACGGGGCUCAAGCAUUGAACCGAAGAUCAUGACAGACGGGUCUUGCGAGAUCCGUCUUUGGUAGAGGAGCGUUCUCUCUGCAGUGAAGUCAGACCGACAAGGACUGGUGGAGCUGAGAGAAGUGACCCUGCCGGCAUAAGUAGCGAGAAGGGAAGUGAGAAUCUUCCCCGCCGAAAACCUAAGGAUUCCUGAGGUAGGUUCGUCCGCUCAGGGUUAGUCGGGAGCUAACGCGAGGCCGAAAGGCGUAGCGGAUGCACAUCCGGUUAAUAUUCCGGAACUACUGACAGAUCGUUAUCACGAUGGGGGGACGCAGGAAGCUAUGCGGGCCUGGUUUUGGUUAUCCAGGUUUAGACAUGUAGGGGGAACAGACAGGCAAAUCCGUUUGUUCAUAAACCCUGAGGUGUUAUAGCGAUGGCCGCAAGGCCAAUAAAGCCGCAGACGCUACGCUGCCGAGAAAAGCCUCUAAGGAGAUCUGUAAGUACCCGUACCGCAAACCGACACAGGUAGGUGAGGAGAAAAUCCUCAGGCGCAAGUGAGAAUCAUCGUUUAGGAACUAGGCAAAAUUACCCCGUAACUUCGGGAGAAGGGGUGCUCCCUGUUGUCAGUGUCCACGCGGCACGAAGCGGCAGAGAGUUGCAAUAAAGAGGGUCAAGCGACUGUUUACUAAAAACACAGGGCUCUGCUAAGUCGAAAACGACGUAUAGGGUCUGACGCCUGCCCGGUGCCGGAAGGUUAAAAGGAGAGGUCAGCCGCAAGGUGAAGCCUUGAAUUGAAGCCCCGGUAAACGGCGGCCGUAACUAUAACGGUCCUAAGGUAGCGAAAUUCCUUGUCGGGUAAGUUCCGACCUGCACGAAUGGCGUAACGAUUUGACCGCUGUCUCAACGAUGAACGCUGCGAAUUUGUGGUACCGGUGAAGACGCCGGUUGCCCGCCAUAAGACGAAAAGAC